rnacentral:tRNA from 1 species
AUCCACAUAGUUUAAAAAAAACAUUAUAUUUUCAUUGUAAAAUUAGAGCUAUCUCUUAUGGGUA